rnacentral:rRNA from 1 species
CCCUUAGAUGUCCUGGGCCGCACGCGCGCUACACUGAUGCAUGCAACGAGUUUAUAACCUUGGCCUGAAAGGUCUGGGUAAUCUUUUGAACGUGCAUCGUGAUAGGGAUAGAUUAUUGCAAUUGUUAAUCUUGAACGAGGAAUUCCUAGUAAACGCGAGUCAUCAGCUCGCAUUGAUUACGUCCCUGCCCUUUGUACACACCGCCCGUCGCACCUACCGAUUGAAUGGUUCGGUGAAGAUCUCGGACUUCGAUAUUUAUUCUUUAUUGAGUUUAUAUCGUGGGAAGUUAUCUAAACCUCAUCAUUUAGAGGAAGGUGAAGUCGUAACA